rnacentral:rRNA from 1 species
ACGGAGGGUGCAAGCGUUAUCCGGAAUCAUUGGGUUUAAAGGGUCCGCAGGCGGACUAAUAAGUCAGUGGUGAAAUCCUCUCGCUUAACGAGAGAACUGCCAUUGAAACUGUUAGUCUUGAAUUCGGUCGAAGUAGGCGGAAUGUGUCAUGUAGCGGUGAAAUGCAUAGAUAUGACACAGAACACCGAUAGCGAAGGCAGCUUACUAGACCUGGAUUGACGCUCAUGGACGAAAGCGUGGGGAGCGAACAGG